CAUUGUGUAGCAUAGUGGUAAGGAGUUGGGCUCAUAACCAAAAGGUUGCUGGUUCAAUUCCCUGCAGGGG